UACGUAGGGUGCAAGCGUUGUCCGGAAUUAUUGGGCGUAAAGAGAACGUAGGCGGCUAGCUAAGUCUGGUCUUAAAGACUGGGGCUUAACCCCAGGAGUGGACUGGAAACCUGGCUAGCUUGAGGACGUCAGAGGGAAGUGGAAUUCCAAGUGUAGCGGUGAAAUGCGUAGAUAUUUGGAGGAACACCAGUGGCGAAAGCGACUUCCUGGGACGUUUCUGACGCUGAGGUUCGAAAGCUCGGGGGAGCAAACAGG
rnacentral:rRNA from 1 species